UGCAAACAUAUUCAAUACAUUGAAAAUUAAUAAUAGAGUCCAAAUAUGUGUUACUGGAUCGGGUUAGACUAAGUUGAAGUCCGAUUUUAAAAAAUUUAUAAAUUCGAGUUUAGGCUUAGUUUGUUUAGAUCCACUCAAAUAGUUUGUUUUACUGUUUUAAAAAUGGUUGGGCUAGGUUGGAUUUAAAAAAUAUAAACAUAAAUCCUGUCUAAAAAGAAUUGAGUUAACCCAGUUACUAAACUUAUGCACACUUUUAAAUAUAAGUUGAGAAUGUCAUGGUUUUGAGUCUACUCAAUCUAGAUAGAAACUAUUUGGAUUUUAAGAUUUUCUAAUCAUUCUGGUUGAGAUCUUUCGGGUUAAAGUUAAUUUUGAACAUUUUGGGUUCAUGUUAUUUUGAGUUUAGGUUAUUUAAGUUUGAGAUUUGAGUUUUUCAAGUCUGAUCAUUUAAGGUUCUAAUCAUUUUUAGAUUUUGAUCACUUCUAGUUCAGGUCAUUUUGGGUUAUGUGUUAAGGUUAUUUUGAGUUCAAGUCGUUUUGGGUUUCGAGUGAGAUUGGGGGAUCAAUUUCAAGUUUCGAGUUUGACAUAUUCAGAUUAUAGAUUUUUUAUGAUCAAAUCGAGUUAGAUUAUCCCUUACCAAUCCGUUGGUAACAAACUGGAGAAGAAGGCAAGCAACAAUUGAGCCAAGGCAUUGGGCAACCCAGUAGAAAAGGCCGGUCAAGAUGGUGAUGUUUCCUCCGAUGGCCAAACCAAAGGUGACGGCUGGGUUCAAAUGACCACCUGAGAUGUUGGCUGCAAUGGCUACCCCAACAAACAACGCAAGUGCAUGAGCUACCGCUAUGGCCACUAAGCCUG
rnacentral:lncRNA from 1 species